CAACAAGCAAGUUGCAGCAAAUACCCACNGAGUUAAAGUUCAUCACAUUCACCCUUGACCUUAUUCUCAGUACAACUUGUGCAAUUGAAAACAGUACAACCAAAAGAAAGGAAACAAGUCAAACAUAACACCCUUUGAAUCCAAAGCCAAGAAUAAUAGUUUUUCUUUUCUUCACAUUAGAACCCUAAAGCUGCAAGAAAACAAAAAGUGUGGUCUUGUUUCUUCUCCCUCAAGCAAAAAGAGAAAAGCUUCAUGUAUAAAAGCUUGAGAUUUUNGAAUGCUGAAACUUUGUCUUCUUUUCCAANUACAAAAGCAACACUCAAACACAAUCACCAGUANUUUUAAGAGCUAGAAACUGCACUAUGAAGAAUAACAACAGUAUUACUGCAACAAAACAUUAUAAAAAUCUAUUAUUAUUGAUGUUUAAGAUCACAAUGAAACAUAAGCAGAUGUCUUUAAUGAUCCCCCAGCCUCCAUUACCACUUGUUGCAGGAUUUUAAACCGACAGCAACAUGCAGUAAUGGAAGCCUUUGGGGUCACCAAAACUCAUUCUGUAUUAUUCAANGCUCCAUGCAUACAUAGACCUAAGAAAUUUGUUAAUUUAUUUCUCANUCAAGCACAC
rnacentral:lncRNA from 1 species